rnacentral:lncRNA from 1 species
GCUGUUCUGUGACGUACCCUCCUCCAAAUUGACAUACUGGGUUCUAGUGCGAUAAUUGAGCAGAGGAAAACUUGAAGACUUACAGUCAGCCUUAGCUUUGAUAAAUGUUUUAAAACCACAUUCCAGUUGGACCACAAAUACUAUCUAAUAAUAUAAUGAGAUAAUAUAUUUUCUUUCUUAAUAAUACUUAAAAGAUAUUGGAGGCUGGGAGAAAGGGCCACGAAGAAGAGGCCUAAAAUUAUAUUUAUUCGUAGGAACAAAUUUUUCCUAGCUUUUCUCUUUUUAAUAUCCUGGUAAAAAUUGGGUUUCUAGUAAAUAGUCCAGGAAGUAUUUAUUUAACUUAAUUUCUUUUGAUGUAAAGCCUUUAGGUUAAUUUUCAAUACUUUGUUAAUAUAAAAUUAAAGGGAAAGACCAACUUACGAUUAGAUCAACAUUUAAUAUCACUUUAUUUUUGUGUAUAUAAUAAAUUUAAUCCAGAAGUUAAGUGCAUGAAAACAUGAUUUUAUAAAACAAAACUAACCAUGCUUCCCCUCCAUUGCCAUACCUGCUAUUUAAUUGUAGAUUGCUAUUUUCUGUAUGUUAAAAUUGGGUGAAUGAGAUAGCAAUUGUGGAAUGAGGAUAUAUAGUGCUUUAUGGACAGGUAGUUAGAGAAAGGUGCCUUGUUCUUCAUUGGAAUAUCUGAAAAUUCCACCUCUUUUUAAUUUUUCUUAGCACUUCACCCCUUAACCAUGCUGAACCACAGCAGCUUGCUUAGAAUCUCAUGGAAGCAAUGCACAGGCAAAUUCACGUUUUUGUUGUUUUGAUUGUUUUGAUUUUGAAAGCUAAUCGUGGAACACGGAAGAGAUGGCUCAUUCAGUGCACAGGCCAUUUCGCUGGGUGCUGUGGCAGUCACUGCAGUCUCAUCCUAUACAUAGGCUCUGUACCUGUUACUAUAGUAACUAGUGCAGUGGAAGGCAAACACGCUUGACAAGAUCGUCUCUGGGUAGCUGAAAAGCUACACUCUCACAUUUUAGGGCCACCCCAUGACUGAUAAUUAAGAUACUGCUGUGUAGUUUGAGUAUGUGUAAACUUGAAUAAGAGCACCUUGUAACAUCUUUUGACGAGGAGAUUAAAAUGCUAGUUAACAGAAUAUCUACCAUGUUGCUUUUUGCAUGAUGGGAAACAAUGGAGUUCAAAGGGAAGUUUUAAAGGAAUGAAAAGGGUGAAAGAUAUUUCAGCAUUAAAAUCCUAAGCAUGAAGUGAAAGGAGAGAUUGGUACUUCUGCUGGUGUAUACAGGUUUUCUGUGUUCUUCUCUUAGUGUUCCGCUGUUAUUCCUGCCAGUAUUGUACAUGCGUGAUUGACUUGCCUGUCAAAUCUAUCAAGUAUUGGAAAGUAUUUGUGUAAAUCUUUGUGCCAACAAGAAUUCUCCCAGUGUUGUGUAUCUUUACCUCAUACCAUUCAUUGAUAUGGUUCUUGUGAGAUUGUAGCUUGUCUGACAGAAGCCAAGGUGGAAUCCGAUGAAACCUGCCGGGCAGGAGGUUCAACUGAGAAACCUAAGACAGCUUCAGCCUAGCAUGUGGACCUCAGCGGCAUAGUCUCUAAAGUUUUGUGUAAACUGUGAUGUUCACCUGUGGCUUUGACCCAUUUCUGAUGUGGUUUAAUUUUAUUUCUUUCUGGACAGCUUUGUAGAAAUGGAAUUUUUAUACUAAAGACACUGUUCACUUGUAAGUCAAUACAUUAUAAAAUGGUGUAUUUAUUUUUUGUAAUAGUGUGGAUUGUUUAGCCCAGUGUAUUUAUUUUCCUUUACCUGUGUAUUCUGUGCUCUCAAAUAGAUGUGUAGCAAUUGAAAUGAGAACUCAGUGCAUCAUUUCAAGCACUACAUUGCCUGCAUUGCAAAUUCUCUGAGCACAGGAUUGUACAGAACCCUGAGCCUGUGUACUGCCAUUUGAUUGUCAGUUCCAUUUGUGUCAAAACCUAAAGGUGGUGAUGACCAAGUGAAACAGAGUGCUGUACUGCUUUUUCAUAUGAAUAUUUUCACAUAAAAGCAUUUGUGAAAGCAGUUGAAAAUAUUACUUUGUUUAAAAAAAUCUUUCUUCUGUGUUUA